UGGGGAAUAUUGCACAAUGGGCGCAAGCCUGAUGCAGCCAUGCCGCGUGUGUGAAGAAGGCCUUCGGGUUGUAAAGCACUUUCAGCGGGGAGGAAGGCGGUGAGGUUAAUAACCUCAUCGAUUGACGUUACCCGCAGAAGAAGCACCGGCUAACUCCGUGCCAGCAGCCGCGGUAAUACGGAGGGUGCAAGCGUUAAUCGGAAUUACUGGGCGUAAAGCGCACGCAGGCGGUCUGUCAAGUCGGAUGUGAAAUCCCCGGGCUCAACCUGGGAACUGCAUUCGAAACUGGCAGGCUAGAGUCUUGUAGAGGGGGGUAGAAUUCCAGGUGUAGCGGUGAAAUGCGUAGAGAUCUGGAGGAAUACCGGUGGCGAAGGCGGCCCCCUGGACGAAGACUGACGCUCAGGUGCGAAAGCGUGGGGAGCAAACAGG
rnacentral:rRNA from 1 species